rnacentral:rRNA from 1 species
UACGAAGGGAGCUAGCGUUGUUCGGAAUCACUGGGCGUAAAGCGCACGUAGGCGGAUUUGUCAGUCAGGGGUGAAAUCCCGGGGCUCAACCUCGGAACUGCCUUUGAUACAGCAAGUCUUGAGUUCGAGAGAGGUGGGUGGAAUUCCUAGUGUAGAGGUGAAAUUCGUAGAUAUUAGGAAGAACACCGGUGGCGAAGGCGGCGAGCUGGUCCAUUACUGACGCUGAGGCGCGACAGCGUGGGGAGCAAACAGG